AGUGAACGCUGGCGGUAGGCCUAACACAUGCAAGUCGAACGGCAGCACAGUAAGAGCUUGCUCUUACGGGUGGCGAGUGGCGGACGGGUGAGGAAUACAUCGGAAUCUACUUUUUCGUGGGGGAUAACGUAGGGAAACUUACGCUAAUACCGCAUACGACCUACGGGUGAAAGCAGGGGAUCUUCUGACCUUGCGCGAUUGAAUGAGCCGAUGUCGGAUUAGCUAGUUGGCGGGGUAAAGGCCCACCAAGGCGACGAUCCGUAGCUGGUCUGAGAGGAUGGUCAGCCACACUGGAACUGAGACACGGUCCAGACUCCUACGGGAGGCAGCAGUGGGGAAUAUUGGACAAUGGGCGCAAGCCUGAUCCAGCCAUACCGCGUGGGUGAAGAAGGCCUUCGGGUUGUAAAGCCCUUUUGUUGGGAAAGAAAAGCAGCAGGUUAAUACCCCGCUGUUCUGACGGUACCCAAAGAAUAAGCACCGGCUAACUUCGUG
rnacentral:rRNA from 1 species